AAUGAAACAUGGUACUACUUGGAAAUUUUCUAAGACACUGGCUGAUUUUAGCUGCUGUGUAAAAUGGCUUUGAUCAGAUUGAAGGAGAAGCCACUGACUCAACUCCAGCUGAGCCUCCAUGGUGCUGCUGCACCCGAGCCAUGUCUGCCAACUCCAGCCUAGGCCCUGCAGAGCCACUUGGGGUAAAUCAGAUGAAGGACAGAGGAUGGAGGCAUUCUGCACUCGAGUUAAAAUCAAGCCAAGAAAUGAAUCUCUUGUUAGGAAUUUUGCCUGGUGAAUCAUGUUGAACUGAGAGCUGUCUGUGGUGAGCACAGGCAAUAUCCAAUCACUAGCUGUACUUCGCCUCCUCACAGUUACACCCUGCUGUGUGAGGAAAGUGUCUCUCUUCCUCAGAAAACAAGAUCCAAGGUGCAAAACCCAUCAACUGGGGCGUCAUGGAAUAUCUUGGAAAAUUUUAGAGCUAGUAAUUUCCUUCUGCCAGGAAUAAUUUGGUUUAGUCUUUCUUUUUCUAAAUGUCCACAUCAGCAGUGGAAUAGCAAAACAUGAAUUGGACUGCCUAUGGACCGUGAUUUACUGUCACUCUUUCCGACCAGGCUUAGACUACAGGCAGGUACUAACCCAGAAGGCAGAAGUCUGGAGGCCUGAAAGAAUUACAGGACAAAAUACUGGCCCCUCACAGGAACUGAGCAAGACUUGAGUGUCGGAAGUCCAGACAUGUAUUACAUUUAUUCAUUAAACAAUGAUGUACUGAGUGGCUAUGUUGAACCAUUUGCUUCAUCACACAACUGGGACACAUUGGUGGUGGAAUGCACAAGAAUCCUUGUGAAAUGAAGUCUGCACAUUCUAAAAGCAGGAGACCAGCAAUUAACAAUACAUGUGAUAACAGAGUAAAUUCUGCAGUGUGUUGGAAGCUGAGAAAUUCUACAGGAAAAAAUAAGUUUCAGAAGUUUCAGUCCACAGUUAGCUGGUUCCAUCCCCUUAAGCCUGUGGUGAGGCUGAAGCAGCAUGGUUUCUACCACGAAAGGGCACGGCAGAGGAAAACUGCUCAUCUCAACGUGGCCAUGAGGCAGAGAAGAAGAGAAAGGGCCAGACAGGAAGGGGCCAGGGUGUGAAAUACUCUGCAAAGACGUGGCACCUCCACUUAGACUAUCACCUCCUAACAGCCCGUUCAGCUAAGGAGCUCAUCAGCGGGUCGACCCACGGGUGAAGUUAGCAUCUUCUUGAUUUCAUCACCGCUGUGGGCCCCACCUCUGAACACUGCCGCACCGGC
rnacentral:lncRNA from 1 species